AUUUUAGCAUGGUGAUGGAUGUGAUGUUAAUGUAAUUAGUCUUGGUGGAAUAGAUCUGGUAUGCUGCUGCUGAAUUGCUGCUGCUGUUGGAUAAUGUUGUAGCUGUAGAUUAUUGCUACUUCUGCAAGCAAGUACCGGAACUUGCUACUGUCAAUGCAUAUGGCGAUAAUGGUGCCGUGAGUAUUUAAGACAUCCUGCUGCUGCACAAACAGCAUAUAAAAUAAACCAUAGCAGAUCUAUACAGGUGGAGUUGGGGAAGGUAAAGGGUUUCAGAUAAGCUCUGAAAGGGUGCUGCAGGAAUCUCAACUGAAAGCUAGCCAGCCACAGAAAUGCAAGGCAGUAAGCUCAUUGGCUGCAUAUGCAUAUUAAACAAACAGCUUGUGCCAUGGAAAUGAGACCAUGACCAACUAAAAUUUGUUCUGAAUGACAGAAACUUUGACAAAUCUACUGAAAUUUUAGUCAACUAAUAAAAAUGAGACGUAAAUGUUCGGGAUGGACAAUCUGGGAAGAGAUUCGUUCGUAAAGAAUCCACUGCAUGGUUGCGAGAUUAGAUGCGUACAUAUGAACUGGCAGGACAUAAGCUAACAUACACUUGCUGCACGUCUAAUUAACAAAAAUGUUGAUAUCUGGGAGUAAGAAGAGCAGACAUAUGGAUAAAUCUGACGGCGCAAAAGAGAACUCAAUUCGGUCCGGUUUCCUGAGCACACACACAAAUGCAGUACACUUGUAUUAUAAUGUUGUUGUUCUCUUGUUGGUCUGAUAGCUUCUAUUGUUCUCAUUUGUAAGUGGCUUUGGAUAAAAGCGUCUGCUAAUGCCGCGUUUCCACCGCAGGAACUUUACCCAGGACUAGGGACUCUGGCCUGGUAUUUGGUGUGUUUCCACCGCAGGAACCAGGAACUAAAUAAAGUUCCGGGUAAAAAAAUACCGCUCAAAGUCCCUGCUAGCAAGGUGGUACUUUUUCAAAGUUCCAGAACUUUCGGGGGCGGGACUUUGGCGCUAAACAUCCUGAUUGGUUGAGUUUGAGCAGCAUUGGUUGAGUUUAACCACCAUUUAUUCGGAUCAACAUUUUCAAAAUAUUACUGUUAAUGUGUAAUGAAAUGUAAUUUUAAAAGUAUUUCAGGCGAGAAUGUAGUUGUUUAAAACUCAAAUCUGUGGUUUAUUAAUAAAGACAGCGCCUAUUUAAAAAUGUUUCGCUGAUCUCGGAGAUGGUGACCUCCACACGAUCAGCGGGAGCUCAGUGAUCAUCUAUCCGCCGAGAAGCAGCUUCACCUUGGACAGACCUUCUGAUAUGUGCCGCUGGCUCUGAUGUGUCUUUAGUGGUUAAACAUAAAAUAUAAUUCAGCUGCGGGGUAAAUCUAACAGGUUUUCUUUGGUCUGUAUUCAGUUUAUCUAUAUUAAAAUGAAAAUAAAAAAGGCAAGUCUAUAUAAUAUUUCGUUUCAUUGUAAUGGCUGUAUAUAUGCACAUAUCCCUGAACUAAGUACAUUUCUACAGCUGUUAUUAUGUUUAAAUGAAAACGAAAGGAGGCAGUGGUAUUUGAUAUCCUAUUUCGUUUUAUUGUAAAUAUACAGAGAGGAAAAUUGCAGUAGCCAAAGCCAUCUGAGUUCACGCAGCAUUGGUUGAGUUCAAAGACCAUUUAUUCUGAUCAUUUUCAAAUAUUACUGUUAUUGUGUCAUGAAAUGUAAUUUUAAAAGUAUUUCAGGCGAGAAUAUAGUUGUUUAAAACUCAAAUCUGUGGUUUAUUUAUAAAGACAGCGCCUAUUUAAAAAAAAAUUUCGCCGAUGUCGGCGACAUGAUCAAUGGGAGCUCAGUGAUCAUCUAUCCGCCGAGAAGCAGCUUCACCUUGGCUAGACCUUUUGAUAUGUGCCGCUGGCUCUGAUGUCUCUUUAGUGGUUAAACAUAAAAUAUAGUUCAGCUGCGGGGUAAAUCUUAACAGGUUAUCUUUGGUCUGUUUUCAAUUUAUCUAUAUGUUAAAAUGAAAAUAAAAAAGGCAAAUUUAUAUAAUAUUUCGUUUCAUUGUAAUGGCUGCAUAUACACAUAUGCCUGAACUAAUUAAAUUUCUGCAGCUGUUAUUAUGCUUAAAUGAAAACCAAAGGAGGCAGUGGUAUUUGAUAUCCUAUUUCGUUUUAUUGUAAAUAUACAGAGAGGAAAAUUACAGGAUUCGCGUCGUCGCUGACAUCACACUCCCCAGUCGAAUGCACAAAGUCUGAACUAACUACCGAUGAUACACGUCCAAAAUCAUCGUACUUUUUGUUUUUUUUAAAUCAUCGGUACUUUGUAUUGAGAAACGUGCGCAGACCUACGUCAUCAGUCUAUUCGCCUAAUCUUCCCGGUACUUUACACCGCGGUGGAAACGCAGAAAGCAACAGGUCUGGGGGGAAAAAGUUCCUGGUACAAAUGUUCCGGGUAAUUUCGGUGGAAACGCGGCAUAAAUGAGUAAAUGUAAAUGUAUCUCACACAGCACACAAGUACUAUUUCGCUUCUCCGGAACGGAGAAAUAUGCAAAAAAUUAUUGCCUAUUUUCUGUUUUGACAAGUAUUCAAGUAAAUGCACUCGGUUAUGUUUUAUGUGAACUAUUAAUAGUUGGGAGAAUAUUGGACGUGUAUCAGCACAUUGCAUCCAUGUAUCUGGUUUUAAAGGGAGAGCAGGCUUAUUUAUUUGCUAUUUGUUAUGAAUAAUGCAAAAUUAGAAUAAUUACAAAUAAAAAUUUGUAUUUCAUUGAAAAGACCAUGUUCUCCUUGUUUAUUAGAAGUGGUUUUAUUUAAUUCAAACAUUAAGGCAUUUUUUUGUCACCGCAGUUAAAUGUGUCUCAUGAUAAAACCUUAAUAUAAAACCUAGUUAAUUUGAAAACCCAUUAGAUUUAGCAGACUAAACUUACUGUAGAUUUAGUUGACUAAAAUCUUAUGAUAGUCAACUAAAAUCUUAUGAUAUGUAGUUGACUAAAACUAAAGCAAAAGGAAUUGGCAUUUUAGUCAAAAGACUAUGAACGCACCUAAAUCAAAAUUUGCUGUCAAAAUUAACUCUUGAUUCCACAAUAAUAACUAGAUAGUAAAGUCUGUAGACAAACUUUAAGUUACCUUGAAAAAGCCUUGACAGAAAGUUUGAAGUAGUUUUAAAAGCUUAAAGUUUGAGGGUUAACUUAAAAUAGUUUUAAAGUUUUGAAGGCAAUACAAACUAUCAGAAAAAUAAAUAGAUAAAUGGACAGAUAGAUACAUAGACAAGAAACUUGCAUGUUGCUAGAAUGAUUAACAAGUUACUAUCAUGUCAUUAACUUGCUUUCAGCAUGAUUAGCAGGUGACUAGCAUUUUGCUAGCAUGUUUCUAGCAUGAUUAGCAAGUGUCUUGCAUGUCUUUAGCAAGAUUUCCAAGUGAAUAUCAUGUUGCUAGCACGAUUAGCAAGUUACUAGCAUGUUGUUAGCAUUACUAGCAAGUGACUGACAUAUUGCUAGCAUGACUACCAAAUGACUAACAUAUCAUUAGCAUGAUUAGCGAGUAACUAGCAUGUUAUCUUGUUUCCAGCAUAAGCAAAAAUAUUAGCAUGUUGUUAGUGUGUUUGUAUGCUAAUCCAGCUAAAACCAGUUGAUUCAGUUAAAAAAAAAAACAUAGGCAAAGAACAGUGUGACAGUGGCAGAAACCGCUUUAAAAGCAUGUUCCUAGCCUGAUUAGCAAGUUAAUGGCAUGUUUUUAAUGGUAAUCCAUCUUAAUCUAGUUGAUUCGCUACAAAAAAAAAAAAAAAAACUAUAUAUACGGCUAGGACCCUGAUUUCCAAAGGAAAUGCAAAAUUUACUUUAAUCAGAGAACAUAACUUUGGACCACUCAGCAGCAGUCCAGUCCUUUUUGUCUUGAGACGCUUUUGACGCUGUCUGUUUUUCAAGAGUGGCUUGACACAAGGAAUGCGACAGCUGAAACCCAUGUCUUGCAUACAUCUGUGUGUAGUGGUCCUUGAAGCACUGACUCCAGCUGCAGUCCACUCUUUGUGAAUCUCCCCCACAUUUUUGAAUGGGUUUUGUUUCACAAUCCUCUCCAGGGUGCAGUAUUUUUUUUUAUACCACCUCUUUUCCUUCCCUUCGCCUCUCUAUUAAUGUGCUUGGAUACAGAACUCUGUGAACAGUCAGCCUCUUUUGCAAUGACCUUUUGUGUCUUGCCCUCCUUGUGCAAAGUGUCAAUGGUCGUCUCUUGGACAACUGUCGAGUCAGCAGUCUUUUCCAUUAUUGUGUAGCCUACACAACUAGACUGAGAGACCAUUUCAAGGCCUUUACAGGUGAUUUGAGUUAAUUAGCUGAGGUGUCUUCAAUAUUGAACUUAAAUUUUCUGAGAUACUGAAUUUGGGAUUUUCCUUAGUUGUCAAUUAUAAUCAUACAAAUUUAAAGAAAUAAACAUUUGAAAUAUACCAGUCUGUGUGUAAUGAAUAAAUAUAAUAUACAAGUUUAACUUUUUGAAUUAGUGAAAUCAACUUUUUGAUGAUUUUCUAAUUAUAUGACCAGCACCUGUAUAUGCGAUCAGAUUUAGCAAAUAGUAUGCAUAUUUAGCAUAUUGUGUGGGGAGGGCUCUGAGCUUAGACUUUAGCCUGAACCCAGAAAACUCCACUAUAUCCCAAUCUGGGAUGAGAAUAGUCGGAGUGGAGGUGAGAUGCCGGAGAACUGUCACGGGACAGCUGUAACUUGGCUGUAUAGAUAUUUACUAUCAUGCUAGUUAAGUUGAUAAAUUGAGCCUGCUCCUCUUAAAGGGGGGGGGGGGUGAAAUGCUAUUUCAUGCAAACUGAGUUUUUUACACUGUUAAAGAGUUGGAUUCCCAUGCUAAACAUGGACAAAGUUUCAAAAAUUAAAUUGUACGUUUGAAGGAGUAUUUUUGUUCCCAAAAUACUCCUUCCGGUUUGUCACAAGUUUCGGAAAGUUUUUUUCGAGUAUGGCUCUGUGUGACGUUAGAUGGAGCGGAAUUUCCUUAUAUGGGUCCUAAGGGCACGUCUGCCGGAAGAGCGCGCACUCCCGUAUAGCAGAGCACUGAGAGAGCACAGGCAUUCACUGAUCAGAGCAAGAGCGUCGCGAAAUGUAACAAAAGAAGUGUGUUUUUGGUUGCCAGGGCAAGACAACCCUGCACAGAUUACCAAAAAAAAAACAGCAUUAAGGGACCAGUGGAUGGAGUUUAUUUUUACAGAGCAUCAACGGAGCUGAGCAAGUGUUUGUGUUUGUUCCCUGCAUUUCGAAGAUGCUUGUUUUACAAACAAGGCCCAGUUUGACGACGGAUUUGCGUAUCGUUUAUUUCUUAAGGAUGAUGCAAUCCCAAUGAAAAAGGGUCAUGGUCGUGUGUUGGAACCGCAGGCGGUGAGUAAAACUGCUUCAAAUAUCUCUGCCUCCUUGUUAGUGCGUCCGCCUCCCAUGCCGGAGCCCCGGGUUCGAGCCCCGCUAGGAGCGAGUCGUUGCUGCUGCUGCUCUCGUUCAGUUUCAGCCUCGGGAUCUGAUUCUGGAUCAUAAAUAUACACUGAAUCUGACUGUAAGCCAUGGUUUGUUUUGGAUGAUGGUUUUUCCCUCAUGGUAAUGUCACAGCUUCCAGACGCUCUCAACGCAAAAGCCUACUGGCGCUCGUGAUUCUUUAGCUCCGCCCACACGUCACUCCUCCAGCCGGUUGUGUUUUUCCGGGAAAAAUCGGUACAGACUAUCUUUCUCUUAUAAAUAUAAUAAAACUAAAGACUUUUUGGAGUUAUGAAGGAUGCAGUACUACUCUAUAGGUACUCAAGAUUAACAGGAUAUUGAGUGAAAACGAGCAUUUCACCCCCCUUUAAAUUUUGUCAUUAAAACAUCAUGACGACUUCUGUUUAGCUUGCCAGUAGGAUUUAAUUUAGUUUUAAUACAUCUAUUUUUUUUUAACAGUUGAAACUCCUGAAGAGGUCAAUUACACUGAACCAUUGUUCUACAAAAGAAAUUCACUUAAAUCGAAAGAGAAUACAGAGGAAGUACAUGUGGUAUAUGCAUCUGUCAACAAGAAAAAAUGAUCAAACUUAAAUAUAUUUUCUAAGAAGAUGGAACUGUGUGGCCUCCGACAACCUCCGAGUUUAUAGUUGCGUUUUGGGAUUAGUGUGAAUGACCACAUGUAGCAUCAUAAGGAUAUGCAGCUGGAUCAUCUUGAGGGAUUUGAAUAUGGAGUUAUUUUCUGUUUUUUUAUGCAAUCUCAAACAGUGUUUAAGAGCAAAAUAAUAACGUUGUAAUAAAAAAAUGAUAGUCGAAAUAAAAUAAAAAAAUUAACUGGCAAGAUUUGUUAGAAAAACGUUUUUUUGAAUCAGAUGCACAAUACUCAUAGGUGAAGACCAUGUUUUAUUAAUUUAUUCACAUCUGUACAGAAAUGUGUUUUGAUCUGUUAGACAAAGUGUUUUCGUGAGAAUGAACUGCUAGACGUUUGUGUCUUAUGUCAGUUUGAGACUGUGUCUGAGGUGUAAGUAGCAUGUCUGUGAAUAGCAUGUGGUUGAAGGGCUUUUUCCAUUCAUGCUCGCAUAACACCAUUUGACUUCUCUACAGAAAAAAAAAAUACAUUUAUUCAUACCUUUUCUCAUUUUAAAGUUCAUUUUAAAUAUUGUAUUUUCUUUUUUUGUCAAUGUCUGGUCAUUUUAAGAUUAAAUGCAAUAUGAAUUACAA